ensembl:lncRNA
GGGAGAGAGAGAGAGAGAGAGAGAGAGAGAGAGAGAGAGAGAGAGAGUAUGUGUUACACUCAAAGUCCAUCAAAGGUAGCUCUGAGUCUGGGAGUGACUGGGUGAUUUUGAUCAGAGAUGUAUGGAGUUUGAGGUGAUGAUGGAAUCUCCAGCUAAAAGAGCAGCUAACGGUUGGAAACAUGGAAUAGCUGAGGAGGGAGGUGAGGAAUGGCGGUAACAGCAGCCCGCUACUACUGAGCACUUAGUGUAUGUAUCUGAGCUAAAGGUCAGGACACUGAUCUCCAAUACCUUAUUAGAUGCUCACAAACAGUUCUGGUAAGAUUCUGUUAGUAGUCACAUGCGAUAGGUGAAAGAGUAGAGCCCAUAGGGUGUAACCAGCUGUCCACAAUUCAGGACUACAGUCGCUGAAAGAUAACAGGAAAUGGAACCAACGCCCGUGCUCGCGCUAUAUCCUAGAUUCCUGGUCCUUUCUUGUUUUAAAUUUGAGUAGACUUCUUAGAAUUCUCCACCUUUAUGUACUUUCUUAACGGGACUGCCAGCCCACAAAUAAUGACACAGAGCCGAUAGCUUAGGCUUGUUUCUAACUAGCUCCUACCACUAAAUUAGCCCAUUUCUACUGAUUUACAGGCUGCCACGUGGCUUUUACCUCUGUCCUAUUUAUGUGUCUUACUCAUUCCGCAUCUGGCUGGUGACUCCUCCUCCUUCUUCCCAGAUUUCUCUCUACCUCGAAAAUCCUGCCUAGCUAUUGUCUGUUUAGCUUUUUUAUUAAACCUAUUACAGUGACAUAUUUUUACACAGUGUAAAGGAAUAGUGCACAACACCUUUGGGUUAGUAUCUCCGAAGAAAUGGAAAUAGUUUAUACAAAGAGGUUCAGUUAUUGUUGCUAUUAUAUUUGGGUUUUUGGUGUGUGUGUGUGUGUGUGUGUGUGUGUGUGUGUGCAAUAAAACCUGGGAGUCCAUCUCCUGUCUCUCUCCCUGGUUACACUCUAGUGGGGUCAUCUGCUAAAAACCCUCGGUCCAGGCCAGAGACACCGAAGACAACUGGAAGAAACAGGCUACUCAGCCAUUUCAAUAGUGUGGCUGAAGUUCACAAGGCAUACCGCCUGUGUGCAGUACCCUCUCAGGGCAGAAGAGGGCACCAGGUCCUCUGAACCGAAGUUAGGGGAUGACGGUGAGCUGUGACAGGCGUGCUGGGAAUUGAACCCCGAUCCCCUCCCCGUAAGAGCAGCAAGUGCUCUCAACAGCAUCCAGAGACCAAUGCAGAAAACCACAAUGAAACAAAAGUCAGAGUUGUGGUGCCCAGCGCUAAUGGAUACAUCUACAACACAACUCCUUCACCUAAAGUCCGGGGAUCACUGCAGAGAAGUGGGCAGAAAGAUGGCAAGAGCCAGAAGGACAGGGAGUUUACUGUGAGAUUGUGUCACCUAGCAAUGUCAGAAGGACAGCUGUUCAAAAGCACUUUUUCUGUGUCCUUUCUUUUCCUUUUGAAAAUAAAUCCAUGAGACACAUAUAGCCAUGCAUAUUGUUGAUUUACUAUUUAGAUGAUUCCUAAGAGCAAUGUAGUAGAGUUGCUCACAGUCACUCAGAAGGACCAAGAAUGAGGUAGCUCAGAUGUCG